rnacentral:rRNA from 1 species
CCUACGGGAGGCAGCAGUAGGGAAUAUUGCUCAAUGGGGGAAACCCUGAAGCAGCAACGCCGCGUGGAGGAUGAAGGUUUUCGGAUUGGAAACUCCUGUUGUUAGAGAAGAGAAGGACGGUAGCUAACGAAUAAGCACCGGCUAACUCCGUGCCAGCAGCCGCGGUAAUACGGAGGGUGCAAGCGUUACGCGGAAUCACUGGGCGUAAAGAGCGCGUAGGCGGGAUCGCAAGUCAGAUGUGAAAUCCUAUGGCUUAACCAUAGAACUGCAUUUGAAACUGUUAUUCUAGAGUAUGGGAGAGGUCGGUGGAAUUCUUGGUGUAGUGGUCCCAUCCUUAGAGCUCACGAGGAAUACUCAUUGCGACGGCGCCCUGCUAGAUCCUAACUGCCGCUGCUGCGCGACCGCGUGGGUAGCACACCGGAUUAGCUCCCCUUGUAGUC